CUGCACUCUGUCAACAUCUGAAAUAUUGUGUUCAUUUCUGAGAUUCACGAUUUAAAGACACCAACAAGCUGGAGAGCGUCUGGGGGAGACAAUCAGGAUGCAUCAAGAUGGAAGCUGCAAAAACUGAGGUUGGAUGUCAGGAAGAAUUUCCUAACAAUUAGAGCUGUCUAAAAGUUGAAUGGCUGCCUUGGAUAUCAAGAAAACUGGGAGCUUUCCUUUGCUGCCCUCAUACAUUAUUAGCCAGGAGAAUGCAAAAUGGGUCUGUGGAAGGUCAGAUUUUAUCCAGAGUAGCUAUUUGCCCUCUUGAUCUGUUGUUCCCAGUAACCUUAAGUAUGGAAUAA